rnacentral:tRNA from 1 species
UCCCUAGUAGCUCAGCUAUAAAGAAUCCGCCUGCGAUGCGGGAGACCCAGGUUCAAUUCCUGGGUGGGGAA